GGGGUGCCGACAAGGCACCCAGCGCGUCGUCCUCUCUGCUCCUCUCCUCACUCCCCCCUCCUCUUUGCUCCCCACUUCCCUAACCCUAGCCCCUUUCUACGCCGCCGCCGCCCGUUCCCUCGCCCUCUCCUGGCGCCACCCCCGUCCCUCCUCUCUCGUCACACAGCCGCCCCGCCACCCACCGCCUCGAACCGCGAGCGGAGGGAGGACGAUGAGCACGACGGCGACGGUGGCAGGGAGCAGUAGCAGCAGCAGGCCUUGGGCAACGCCGACGAGCGACGAGCAGCAGCGGAAGGAGGACGAGGAGCACGAAGGCAGCGGUGGCAGGGAAGUGGUGUAGGGCGCCGCCAGGGCCGUGCUGGAGCGGCUCGACGUGCCGGCCACGUGCUCCGAGGAGCCGGCUUCUAGCAAGGUUAUUCUGAAGUCUGUGCUUCGUGACAAGUUGGAACUAUUGCCUUUGGCCAUAUUUCAUGGGAUGUUGUACUUUUUUGCGGGGUCAAGUAACAUGUAUGAACAUUAUUGAUGGUCCUGCUUGCACUCAUGGUUAAGUGAACCUGACAGGUUCCACUAGCUCCGUUGCCGAUACUGACUGAAUUUUCACCUUUUUUACCAUUCAUGGAUUAAUGGCUCGGAUGAAUGCACCAACAAUAGCCCCCUGGAAAACGAAAUUCCAACUUUGAUUACAUGGAGUCCAGGAGGAAAUGAGUUCUGGAAAUGACAUGCGAAAAUACUAAAAAAUCGAUAUGAUUACUUCAAGAAGGUGUUAGAGAGAUCUGGGAAAGAUCAUGCUGUAUCGUUGGUUCUGACAUCUCGAAUAUAUCAUUGCAAGAUGAUUGUUGAUGGGGUGCCGAGACAUAUGUCUGAACUACCUCAUGUGACUGAUGAAAGAGGGCAGGUGGCCGACCCCCUUGAUAUCCAUGCCAGUAAGGAUUAUAUAUGUCCGUUUUAGCAUUUUGUUCAUAUAUAUGCCAUUCAGUAAUGACUGCAGUCUCUAGAUUUGGAUUCAGAGAUACUGUAGUGUGUGCCCUAUGCUGAAUAUUAUAAUUGUAGGAGCUUGCAGUCAAGCUGAUUUAUUGUCUCGAGAAGUGGGCAUUGGGAGUUGUUAAUUGGCUGAACAUGUACCUUCUGGGAGUUGUUUUAUUUGAUGGUCUGGCCUGCUGCACGGCGAUCACGCGGUGGCUGAUCUGGAUCGUCGCGGGUGGGAUGAGGAGUGGAAGACUGCUGUCGCCGGUGGCUGGCCAAGUGUUGGACGUUGCCGUUCUCCGCGUCGACGGCCGCCUCUAACCACCCCAAUCUCCCAUGCCGGUGGUUCCAACCCCGUCGUCUCCCACAUCAUGGUCGGCGGUUAGGCAAGUGGCCGGCCACGUCUUGGACAUCUCUGUCUUCCGCAACGACGCUGCGUUCGCCGCAUGUAACCGUCCGGACGUCCCAUGGAGCCUACCACACUCGUCCAAAAUGCCGACGUUGACCUAACUCGUCCGCCGCUGCGGCUCCGUCAGGUACUCCCUCUUGUGGAUUCAUCGUCUUUCACGUCGCUGCCGUCUUCCACGUCGCUGCCGUCUUGAAUCAAGCCGGAGGCCCAUGCCUCAAGGCCCCAUCGGCGUUGACGGACGACAUCGAUACCAUCGCUGAAGUGUUGGUAGUAACGUGUGUUUAAAUUGACGAAGACACCUCAUUUACAACUGAUGAGAAUGGUACAAAUGAUGUCAGUCGGACUGAUAACGAUCCUAGUAAUGAAGAUGACGACAACAACGAUAACGAUUCGUGGUCAUAAUAUGAUAUCUUACCUUCAGAGGAUUUUGCAAAUAAUGAACAUUGGUGCAAACAGUGAAAAAGAAGAUGUGGACGUUAAGAAUGAGCAAAAUAAUCAUGAGGAAUCGUGGGCCGAUAACUUGAGCCAGGAGGGCUCAGAUGGUCUUGAUGGUGGCGACGACGAAGCAGAGAUGGACAUUGAGGAGGCUCAAUACCAACAACAGAAGUUGGAGACACAUUGGAAGGUCAUGGCUAUGUCUUUUUGGCCACAAGGGGAUGCAUACAUAUUCUACAACAAGCAUGCCAAAGAACAUGGGUUCAGCAUCAGGAGAGAGAAGAUGAAACGAGGGAAGGGUGCUUUAGGAAUAAUAUGGUUCAGGCGGUUUGUUUGCUCUAGGGCAGGGAGAAGGCAGAGGAAAAUCAUAACCAUGGAGGGUCGCACCCGUAGGCUUAGACCCGAGACUCGAUGCGAGUGCGGUGCGUAGAUGGUGGUGAAAUUGGACAGGGCACGUGGAGUUUGGUUCGUCGUGUCAUUCAUGGAUGAUCACAACCACGUGAUGGCUCGACCCAAUGAGGUUUGUUUUCUGUGGUCACACAGACGGAUUGGAGAUGGCACGAGGGCAGAGAUACUGGCUAUGCAAGGGGUUGGAAUCAGUAAGCAUAUAAUGGUGGACAACUUCAUCAAUAGGUGCGGUUUGUACGAGAAAUGCGGACUUAUUAGGCGGGACAUGUACAACCUUUGCUGCUGGGAGAAAAUAAAGCUCAUUGCAAAGGGUGAUGCUGAGACAGCAGUGGGCAUUAUGAGGAGUAGAAAGCAGAAGGACCCAGACUUCUUUGAGUAUGUGCUAGAUAAGGAAGCACGGUUGAAGUGUAUGUUCUGGUGCGAUGCAUAGUCGUGGAGGGCUAUCAGGACUACGGAGAUGUGGUCAUGUUUGACAACAUGUAUAAGAUGAACAGAUAUGGUAUCCUGUUCGCCCCCUUCGUCGGUGUUAAUAACCACCGUUGCACAACAGUUUUUGGUUGCGCCAUUGUUUCCGACGAGACCGAAGCGACGCAUGUGUGGCUGUUCCAUACUUUUAUGAGGGCAAACUGUCAGCAGAAGCCAAAGUCAAUUAUCACAGACGGUGACGCUGCAAUGAUCUGAGUGAUUUGGAGUGUCCUUUCAGAUGUUCUCCAUCGUAUUUGCUCGUGGCAUAUCGAGAAAAAUAUGCAGACACCUACAUUACAAGUCACUGGAUGAGUUCAGAUCGCUCCUGUACUAUGCCACCUGUCAAGAGAACUUUGAGGAGAGAUUUUUUUGACUAUUGACUUUGAGGAGAGAUGGACUGCCUUUGUCAAUAAAUGGAAGACGGAUAAAAUUGAAGAGUGGCUGAACAGGAUGUAUAGGAAGAGGAGACUCUAGGCAGCAUCAUAUCUUUCAGAUGAAUUUUUUCUUGGUAUGCGUAGUAACCAGAGGGGCGAAAGCCUGAACUCCUCCCUUCACCUUCACCUCAACUAUGGUAUGACCAUAGUUGAUUUGGUAGUGCAUUAUGAGAACUGCAUAAUUUGCCUCCGUUAGAACGAGGUGCAUGAUGACUGCGAGGCUAAUCAGAAAGUACCACCGGCGGUUACUGAAUAUAAGGACAUUGAGGAGCAUGCUGCCAAAGUAUUCAUUCCUGCUAAUUUCUGCAUUCAGCAAAAUGAUUUGAAGAUGAGAGAAUUGGAGAUUUUUGAGACGCUAGUGGGAAUUGAGCGUCAGACCUUCAUCGUGACAUGGCAGAAUAACCACAAGUUCAGGUAUAAUGUUGUGUAUGAAUCAGGUAACUCGGAAGAAACUGUAUCAUGCAUGUGUCACAUGAUGGUUCGAAAAGGGCUGCCUUGCAAGCACAUUCUCUUUGUUUUGCAUCAUCUUAAAUUGUCUGAAAUACCAAAGUAUUGUGUCCUCCAUCGAUUGUCGAAAGAUGCGAGAGAUAGGUUGCAGUGCAGCGCAAGGGUGAUCUUUUUGGUUGGGGUUGGUCUGGGCCAGAGGAGAGAGAACAGUAUAGUCAAGUGAGCAUAAAAUCUGCAGAAGCUGCUCAUGUUGCAGCAAAUGAUCCCUUCUUGUUUUAUGAAUUGAUGAAGUGCCUAGACGAUAUAAUAGCAAGGAAGAAGAUCCCGGAAGAGGAACUCAUAUGACACAAAAGGUGUGCUCUAAUUGUGGAGCAGGCAAUUCAAGCGGAAGAAGGUGCAACAGGUAUACGUGAUCCUGAGAAAGUUUCAACGAAGGGUGCACCUAAGAAAGGCUGGUCAAAGGGUGGCCUGAUGUUACGAAAAAUGGUAGACCAAUUUUUUUUAGCGAGAAGCGAAGUGGUCCAUUGUGCAGUCUUUGUCAUUUCCCAGGUCAUAACAAGGCGACAUGUAGUCUAAACGAGAAGAACCGGGCAUAGAGAAGUGGCUUCGAUUGUGGGAAGAAGAAAACUGGUUACACGAGUCAUGUCGGAAUAACCUAUAUUGUUAUUUAUUUAUGUGAACAUGUGUGCGGCGCCAAGAAACUUAAUAAGUGUUUUGUUUAUGUUUCUCAAAAUAACUAUGUGAAUAUCUAUCAUAUGUACUGAAUUAUGAUUAUCAAAAUAUUUAUGUGAACAUCUUUCCUA